rnacentral:ncRNA from 1 species
AAUUUAUAAUAUUAAUUUAUAAAAUGUUGAAAAAAUGUUUUUUGAAUAUUUUCUGCUUUGAUCCGGAAAGCGGACAGAGACAGGGUG